rnacentral:rRNA from 1 species
UACGUAGGGUGCGAGCGUUAAUCGGAAUUACUGGGCGUAAAGCGUGCGCAGGCGGUGAGCUGUGUCCGAUGUGAAAGCCCCGGGCUUAACCUGGGAAUGGCAUUGGAAACUGGCUUGCUCGAGUGCGGCAGAGGGGGGUGGAAUUCCGCGUGUAGCAGUGAAAUGCGUAGAGAUGCGGAGGAACACCGAUGGCGAAGGCAGCCCCCUGGGUCGACACUGACGCUCAGGCACGAAAGCGUGGGGAGCAAACAGG